rnacentral:rRNA from 1 species
UACGUAGGAUGCAAGCGUUGUCCGGAUUUACUGGGCGUAAGCGCGCGCAGGCGGCACUCUAAGUACGCUGUGAAAUAUCCCGGCGUCAACCGGGAGGGUGCAGUGUAGACUAGGGAGCUGAGAGGUCGGUAGAGGGGGUGGAAUUGGCUGGUGUAGCGGUGAAAUGCGUAGAGAUCAGCAGGAACACCCGUGGCGGAAGGCGGCCCCCUGG